CCACCUUCUGGCCGCAGGUGCUCUGACGAGGUUGCACUACUGUGCGCUGAGAAGCAGUGCAAUGAUAUUGUCAAAGCAUCUGGGACCAGCCUUGGGG
rnacentral:pre_miRNA from 1 species